AUGAAGAAUUUGCAAAGAGAAAAAUUAUGGAAAGAAUCUAAUCUUAAGGAUUUCUUCUCGUUAUGCUUCUUUCCAAUCCGACUCCUUACAAUCUUCAAGCUUCACAUGAAAUUUAUCGACUUACUCUUAAAUCGUGUCAUCAUGACAUGCUGCCCUGUUGCCCGAGUUUCAACUUGCACUAACAAACUCAGUUCAGCCAACCAAACACAUAUAAUACUUAUCUAUCAUAGUUCAAAAUAG